rnacentral:lncRNA from 1 species
CCUCCCACUCCUUCACUCACACAACCAAAUUACUUAACAUUCCAACCAUAUAAAACGUAUUAACCUGGCAACCAUAGUUACGAAGCACGUGACAUGACACUUAUAAGAUCACAACAUGAAAAUGCGGGACCUCAUACAGUACGUCAUUUAAGAAAAAAAAUCCUUGUAUUCAUGAUUGAGGGUGCGGCACCAACUAAUGUGACAGUUGAAGAAGAUGAAAGCAAGAGAAAAUAUUUGUGUGUACUAAUACAGGUACUGGACUCCUUCAGUAGAUUCAAUAAUAGCACGGCAUCCAGGGCCUAAGGUAGCAAAGCAAGCCCAAACCAUUACCCAACUAACACCAUGUUUGAUGGUUGAUGUGAGGUUCUUCUGGUCAAAGGCCAAACAACUCCACUUUUGGCUCAUUUGUCCCAAGCACAUUGUUCCAGAAGUCUUGUUUUUCAUUCAGGUUCUGCUUUGAAAACCUAUGCCACUCAGCAAUGUUGUUAUAUUGCAUGCAGACUGAUUUUUUAAAUAAAUAAUAAUAGAGCAGACUUUUUGUGUUUUCUUAGUCAAAUGCAGAUAGUCCUAUCUACUAUUAGGACUAGGUGGAGGUCUCUUAUGUUUAAAUAUGUGAAAAUAUAACAUCUUAAGGAAUACUUUCGUUCGUUUUCUGCUCCCUAUUUUGUACAAAG